CUUGUUUAACUAUAUAGCUGUUGAUUUGUGUUUAUACCCUGUCUUUAGUCUGUCCAAGUGCUUUUAAUACAUUAAAAUAGAACAGAAUGCAAGUAAGAAAAGUGUCAAACUGAAGAUCCAUAAGGUAUAAAAACAAAGAAAUUAGUUCAUUGUGUUUUGAAUCUUCAAACAAGUAGCACAGGGAUAGGCAACUUUGGUCCUGGAGUACCGCUGUCCUGCAGAGUUUAGCUCCAGCCCUAAUCAAACACCUUGCCUCGUUAUCAUACGUAAACAUGCCGUAUAACUUAGGGAAACGAUCAUUUGACCUUCAUUCAUUUUAUUUUUUGCAGCAACCAUGUCUGUGUCCUUAGAGGAACUCUGUCAGAUGGUCAUUGUGCCAUAUGAUCAGGCAAGGGCCCUAAUAGAGAGUGAGAGCUCUGAUGGAGAGAGUGUAGUGAGAGAGAGAGGAAGCAACAGUGGUGGAGGCUACAGUGGUGCAUGCUGGUAGAGUGAAUUUCUGAGAGAUAAUCAUGAUUUCACAUGCCAAAAUGGAUGGGUUUUAUGCAGAUAGAUUUAACAACAAUAGACAUUUGUUAAAAAAAAAAAUUCACUAAUUGUACCAUGUGUUUGAAAAGACUUCUCUGGUGGUCUGGAAGGAGAGGAGGCCUCGCUGCUGGCUCCAGAGCAGGUGCAGUUUGACACGGUUUUCCAUGGUGGAAGCGAAGAGGACCUGGAUGCAGAGAAUUCGUGCUCAGAUGCUGAGGAAGAUGCACCUCCAAGGAAAAGACUGAGAGCUGAAAACACCUGGAAGAAAGUCAUCAACAAGAAAAGAAGAAUGGUUGGGAAGUCAUACGUUGGAAAACAGAAGCAGAAGGAAAUAAUGAGGGAGCCACGGGCUACGGGGCCUAGAUGUUCAUCAGCAGCAUGUGCCAAGUCAGCUAAACAUCACUGCAGUGCAAUCGACAUUUUCAAUGACUUUUGGCAACAUAUGACCUGGGAGGAGAAGAGGGUGUAUGUGCAUGCUCUAAUUGAUGUGGUCCUUGUGCAAAGGAGAAGAGGGGCUGAAAAUUCCCGAAGAUCAAAUUCCCUGUUGUUGUUUUUUUCGGGUCAGCGGGCAGAGAAGACGCAUCUGCAAAGGUAUUUUUUUGUCUACCCUAGGAAUAGGCAAGUGGUCUGCCCUUAACUGGGCAAAGGAGGGACACACGCAAGCAGACACUGAGGGACAAACACACAGCAAUGCACGUCGUUCAGUGGCAGGCCAUGCAUUCAUUCGCAGCUUUUUGCAGGACCUCCCCAAGGUGCCCUCACACUACUGCAGAUCCACAACAUCCAAACAGUAUCCCAACUGUCCAUGAUAUCAGAGCCAUCAGGUAAUUACCAAGGUACAACAACAAUGGAACGAUGGACUUCAAAAUCAACCACUCUGAUGACUGGCAUCCACAUCCGAGUCACCAACUCCUCAGACUCCCCACUCUGUUCAGACCGCCUGAAGAUCAAAGAGCUGAAAUUCAAACACCUCCAAGACCUGAAGGAAGUCAUCCCAAAGGACUUUCACAGCUUUUACGACAAUUUGCUUCACUAGCUUAAUAUAGGAUGCAGUAUUAACACAGUCACAACACACACAGAGCCUCACAGAUACAUGCACACAGACUUAGUAAAGCAAGCCUUAACUAUGAUUUUAUCUGUGUUAAACUAUGAUAUCAGUUAUUGAAAUAUCUACAUAUUACUAGGCUUAUUAUACAUGUGCAUUGAAGUUUUAAAAUGUAUCUAAUAUAAUACUUGAAUUAAAUUGAAUG